rnacentral:rRNA from 1 species
UACGAGGGGUGCAAGCGUUGCUCGGAAUUAUUGGGCGUAAAGGGUAGGUAGGUGGUCUGAUUUGUCAGGGGUGAAAGCCUUGGGCUUAACCCAAGAAGUGCCCCUGAAACGGUCAGACUGGAGUCUUGGAGAGGGUCGUGGAAUUCCCGGUGUAGCGGUGAAAUGCGUAGAGAUCCGGAGGAACACCAAAGGCGAAGGCAGUGUCCUGGGGAGUACCUGACGCUCAGGUGCGAAAGCCAGGGGAGCGAACGGG